CCCGCCGGCGACCGGCGCACGGGUGAGUAACACGUAUGAAACCUGCCCGUAGCAGGGGGAUAAGCGGAAGAAAUUCCGUCUAAUACCGCGUAACAACCCAUGGAGGCAUCUCUGUGGGUUUAAAGGAAGCGAUUCCGGCUACGGAUGGUCAUGCGUCGCAUUAGCUUGUUGGCGGGGUAACGGCCCACCAAGGCGACGAUGCGUAGGGGUUCUGAGAGGAAGGUCCCCCGCACUGGUACUGAGACACGGACCAGACUCCUACGGGAGGCAGCAG
rnacentral:rRNA from 1 species